GAUGAACGCUGACAGAAUGCUUAACACAUGCAAGUCAACUUGAAUUUGGGUUUUUAACUUAGAUUUGGGUGGCGGACGGGUGAGUAACGCGUAAAGAACUUGCCUCACAGCUAGGGACAACAUUUAGAAAUGAAUGCUAAUACCUGAUAUUAUGAUUUUAAGGCAUCUUAGAAUUAUGAAAGCUAUAAGCACUGUGAGAGAGCUUUGCGUCCCAUUAGCUAGUUGGAGAGGUAACAGCUCACCAAGGCGAUGAUGGGUAGCCGGCCUGAGAGGGUGAACGGCCACAAGGGGACUGAGACACGGCCCUUACUCCUACGGGAGGCAGCAGUGGGGAAUAUUGGACAAUGGACCGAGAGUCUGAUCCAGCAAUUCUGUGUGCACGAUGAAGUUUUUCGGAAUGUAAAGUGCUUUCAGUUGGGAAGAAACAAAUGACGGUACCAACAGAAGAAGUGACGGCUAAAUACGUGCCAGCAGCCGCGGUAAUACGUAUGUCACGAGCGUUAUCCGGAUUUAUUGGGCGUAAAGCGCGUCUAGGUGGUUAUGUAAGUCUGAUGUGAAAAUGCAGGGCUCAACUCUGUAUUGCGUUGGAAACUGUAUAACUAGAGUACUGGAGAGGUAAGCGGAACUACAAGUGUAGAGGUGAAAUUCGUAGAUAUUUGUAGGAAUGCCGAUGGGGAAGCCAGCUUACUGGACAGAUACUGACGCUAAAGCGCGAAAGCGUGGGUAGCAAACAGG
rnacentral:rRNA from 1 species